CGACGAGUGGCGGACGGGUGAGUAACGCGUAGGAACUUGCCUGCUAGUGAGGGAUAACUUAGGGAAACUUAAGCUAAUACCUCAUAAUAUCUACGGAUUAAAGCAUGGGACCUUCGGGCCAUGCGCUAGCAGAUAGGCCUGCGUUGGAUUAGUUUGUUGGUGGGGUAAAGGCCUACCAAGACUAUGAUCCAUAGCUGUUCUGAGAGGAUGAUCAGCCACACUGGGACUGAGACACGGCCCAGACUCC
rnacentral:rRNA from 1 species